CGUCGAGUGGCGAACGGGUGAGUAACACGUGGGUGAUCUGCCUUGCACUCUGGGAUAAGCUUGGGAAACUGGGUCUAAUACCGGAUAGGAACCGUCUUUAGUGUGGUGGUUGGAAAGUUUUUCGGUGCAAGAUGAGCUCGCGGCCUAUCAGCUUGUUGGUGGGGUAAUGGCCUACCAAGGCGUCGACGGGUAGCCGGCCUGAGAGGGUGUACGGCCACAUUGGGACUGAGAUACGGCCCAG
rnacentral:rRNA from 1 species